UUGGUUUGGUCUUUCUGAAUGUUAAAAAAAUAGUUUUAUUAACAGGUUAUCAUGGCAGAGGUUUCUUUAGCCCACACUUGUAAAUCUGAAAACGCACUGGAUGAUGAAAUUAUGAAGAAAGAAGCCUGAGACAUCAGCCUAUGAAGACUGAAGACCAUCCUGAAUAGCAAUUAUGAAUGGUGUUGCUGCUAGUCUUGUUCUGCAGAGCAUCUGAAAUGAACCUCUCUUAUUGAUUGUUUUUAUUGGCCCAGAGCCAGGAGUACUGGAUUCAGUUGACUUCACGAUUAAAAGAAAACAGUUUUGGUUACCAUCAUAAACAUAUGAACCAUUGUGAUGGUGAAAUGAGAUGAGGCUCCGAAAUGGAACUGUAGCUACUGUUUUAGCAUUUAUCACUUCGUUCCUUACUUUAUCUUGGUAUACCACGUGGCAAAAUGGGAAAGAAAAACUGAUUGCUUAUCAGCGAGAGUUUCUUGCCUUGAAAGAACGUCUUCGUAUAGCUGAACAUAGAAUCUCGCAGCGCUCUUCUGAAUUAAAUGCCAUUGUACAGCAGUUCAAGCGUGUAGGAGCAGAAACAAAUGGAAGUAAGGAUGCAUUAAAUAAGUUUUCAGAUAAUACCCUAAAGCUAUUAAAGGAGUUAACAAGCAAAAAAUCUCUUCAAGUGCCAAGCAUUUAUUAUCAUUUGCCUCAUUUAUUGCAAAAUGAAAGAAGCCUUCAGCCUGCUCUGCAGAUUGGUAAUGGAAGAACAGGAGUGUCAAUAGUAAUGGGAAUUCCCACAGUGAAGAGAGAAGUUAAAUCUUACCUCAUAGAAACUCUUCAUUCCCUUAUUGAUAAUCUGUAUCCUGAAGAGAAGUUGGACUGUGUUAUAGUAGUCUUCAUAGGAGAGACAGAUAGUGAUUAUGUACACAGUGUUGUAGCCAACCUGGAGAAAGAAUUUUCUAAAGAAAUCAGUUCUGGUUUGGUGGAAAUAAUAUCACCUCCUGAAAGCUAUUAUCCUGACCUGACAAACUUAAAGGAGACAUUUGGAGACUCUAAAGAAAGAGUAAGAUGGAGAACAAAGCAAAACCUGGAUUAUUGUUUUCUAAUGAUGUAUGCUCAGGAAAAGGGAAUAUAUUACAUUCAGCUUGAAGAUGAUAUUAUUGUCAAACAGAAUUACUUUAACACUAUAAAAAAUUUUGCACUUCAACUUUCUUCUGAGGAAUGGAUGAUACUAGAAUUCUCCCAGCUGGGCUUCAUUGGUAAAAUGUUUCAAGCACCAGACCUCACUCUGAUUGUGGAAUUCAUAUUUAUGUUCUAUAAGGAGAAACCCAUUGAUUGGCUCUUGGACCACAUACUCUGGGUAAAAGUCUGCAACCCUGAGAAAGAUGCAAAACAUUGUGAUAGACAGAAAGCCAAUCUACGAAUUCGCUUCAGACCUUCCCUUUUCCAACAUGUUGGUCUGCAUUCUUCUCUAUCAGGAAAAAUUCAGAAACUCACGGAUAAAGAUUACAUGAAACCAUUACUUCUUAAGAUCCAUGUAAACCCACCUGCAGAGAUAUCUACUUCUUUGAAGGUGUACCAAGGACAUACACUGGAGAAAACUUACAUGGGGGAAGAUUUCUUCUGGGCUAUAACCCCAAUAGCCGGAGACUACAUCUUAUUCAAAUUUGAUAAGCCAGUCAAUGUAGAAAGUUACUUGUUCCAUAGUGGCAACCAAGAACAUCCAGGAGAUAUUCUCCUAAACACAACUGUGGAAGUUUUGCCUCUUAAGAGUGAAGGUUUGGAAAUAAGCAAAGAAACCAAAGACAAACGAUUAGAAGAUGGUUAUUUCAGAAUAGGUAAUACCUCCUACUUUAAACUGGAAAAUUUGAGAAUGGCGUUGCUGAAGGAAUGGUGGAUCCCAGUCUAAACCCCAUUUCAGCCUUUCGACUUUCAGUCAUUCAGAAUUCUGCUGUUUGGGCCAUUCUUAACGAGAUUCAUAUUAAAAAAGUCACCAACUGAUCAUCCGCUAAGAAACCAGUUCAUUUUUUUCCUGUGAAUUUGUUAAUUAAAGAUAGUUAAGCAUGUA